CAGAGACAGACUUUGGUAGUGAUCUGAGAGAGAAAACAUUGAAACAUGUUUUAGAGUGGUAUUUUGUGAAUAGUCUAUGUGCAUAGUUAAAGGAUAGUUAACAAAUGCAAUUAUUCAACAAGAGAACAUUAAACUCUCUCAAGAUUUGCCUUCCCAAUCAUAACAGGAAUAAGACCUAUACUAGACAGAUGCUACAGGGCUUAUGAACAUCUACAUAGGAUGAAAGAAGAAAGUAAGUCAGGGUUGGAACAUCAUGAGGGACCUCUGUCAGUUAUUCAUAUAGAUACCAUGGAGAUGGAAUGCCCUGCACUCCUCCAUUUGAUGUUGUCAUCUAAAAGGACAGCUGGGCCGUUGGACCUGCUGGGGAUGGUGUACACCUGGGACUCACAGGACUGCUGUACGGCUUCAUACAAGCUGUCCAUAG